ensembl:lncRNA
AGAGUAAGAAGCUGUCUCUGAGGAAGGUGGGUGUAAGUGACCUGCUUCCGCAUCCACCUAGGUGCGUUUGUGUCUACUUUCCCAUCAGUUCAUUGCUCUGACCAAUACUUGCCAACACAACCAUGAGCAAACCUGGCAAAUGGACUGUCUUGGUCAAACUGGAAGCACAGGUUCCAGAAUAUUUUGAGCAACACUGGUGGGGCCACUUGUCAUCAACUCCAGAGGCAAGCAAAGAGCUCUCUGCCUACUUCUUCCGUCCUAUCAGAUUACACCUUUGAAAUUGGACCUGGCUGUUAAAACUCCAUGAGCUUGUCAGUAUACCCAAGGUUCUCUAACUUAAAAAAAUAAACUCUGCA